rnacentral:rRNA from 1 species
GUGUCAGCAGCCGCGGUAAUACGAAUCGUCCUAACGUUGUUCGGAUUCACUGGGUUUAAAGGGUGCGUAGGCGGUGCGUUAAGUCGGUGGUGAAAUACUUUGGCUCAACCAGAGAAUUGCCGCUGAAACUGGCGUGCUCGAGGGAGGUAGAGGUGCAUGGAACUUCCGGUGGAGCGGUGAAAUGCGUUGAUAUCGGAAGGAACACCUGUGGCGAAAGCGGUGCACUGGACCUCUUCUGACGCUGAGGCACGAAAGCCAGGGGAGCGAACGGGAUUAGAAACCCUAGUAGUCC